AUUGAACGCUGGCGGCAUGCUUUACACAUGCCAGUCGAACGGUAACAGGCCUUCGGGUGCUGACGAGUGGCGAACGGGUGAGUAAUGCAUCGGAACGUGCCCAGAGGUGGGGGAUAACGCAGCGAAAGCUGUGCUAAUACCGCAUGUGAUCUGAGGAUGAAAGCGGGGGACCAGGCAGCAAUGUUUGGCCUCGCGCCUUUGGAGCGGCCGAUGUCAGAUUAGGUAGUUGGUGGGGUAAAGGCCUACCAAGCCGACGAUCUGUAGCUGGUCUGAGAGGACGACCAGCCACACUGGGACUGAGACACGGCCCAGACUCCUACGGGAGGCAGCAGUGGGGAAUUUUGGACAAUGGGCGCAAGCCUGAUCCAGCAAUGCCGCGUGCGGGAAGAAGGCCUUCGGGUUGUGAACCGCUUUUGUACGGAACGAAAAGGCUCUGGCUAAUACCUGGGGCUGAUGACGGUACCGUAAGAAUAAGCACCGGCUAACUACGUG
rnacentral:rRNA from 1 species